UACGAAGGGGGCUAGCGUUGUUCGGAAUUACUGGGCGUAAAGCGCACGUAGGCGGAUCAUUUAGUCAGGGGUGAAAUCCCGGGGCUCAACCUCGGAACUGCCUUUGAUACUGAUGGUCUCGAGUCCGAUAGAGGUGAGUGGAAUUCCUAGUGUAGAGGUGAAAUUCGUAGAUAUUAGGAAGAACACCAGUGGCGAAAGGCGGCUCACUGGAUCGGUACUGACGCUGAGGUGCGAAAGCGUGGGGAGCAAACAGGG
rnacentral:rRNA from 1 species